rnacentral:tRNA from 2 species
GCCAGAUUAGCUCAGCGGUAGAGCGAAGGACUGAAAAUCCUUGCGUGCCCAGUUCGACUCUGGGAUCUGGCACAA